UGGGCAAACACCCACCAGUGAUUCCACCACCUUCAAGUGCUCCAUCAAUUCCAACACCUACCCACUGCCCCUGCCUUAACAAUGGAAUUUGUCAGAAUGGAGUUUGUUUCUGUACAGAUGAGUGGAAAGGAGAGGUUUGUGAGAUUGCAAACUUCUGUAAUAGUAGCACCAGUGUGUC